rnacentral:lncRNA from 13 species
GUUCUGGCUAUUUUUUCCAAGGUAGUAUAACAUUUAAGGCAUUAGAUGAGAAAUCACCUUAAAUUCGCCUUAGUACAAUCUCAUCUGUCUGAAUUGCAAAGAACAGGCAUAUUUGAGCAAAUAAACAUAUACAUAAUCCAGAAGGGAUGAUUCAAGGUUUGUUCUCUGUGUCGAAAGUGGUUCAGAGCAUAGGAUUUGAAGUCCAACAGAGCUAGCUUCAAAUCAUGGUGUUCUUGUGUCCAAAGGUAAAGUGCUAACUUCUCUGAAUCUUAGUGUGCCCAUCUUUAAAAUCGGAUGAAAAUGGAACAACUUUACAAGGUUAUUGUGAGAAUUAACUGAGAUCACACACAUAGACCAUAUAAUACAAUGCCUGGUACAAGGGAUGUGCUCAGUAAAUAUUAGCUGUGAUAUAAGCAAGGUCAGAUUAAAUUAAGGGAGGAGAUCUAAGACAUUCAGAUGGGUUCUUUUUGUUAUUGUUUGUUUCUUGUUUUACCUUGAGGUAUUAUACAGAAGAUGAUUCAAGGAGCAUUUAGCUUCAUAACAUCCAAGGAUCACUUCAGUUCUAAGUAUGCUUUCCCUGAGAGUGGAAUUCUUGGUUGCCAUUACAUCAAACUGAGACGAAUCCACUAUCUUCUUGGUUGCCAUUACAUCAGAUUGAGAAGAAUCCACUAUCUUCUUGGUUGCCAUUACGUCAGAUUGAGAAGAACCCAAUAUCUUCUUGGUUGCCAUUACAUCAGAUUGAGAAGAACCCACUAUCUUCUUGGUUGCCAUUACAUCAGAUUGAGAAGAACCCACUAUCUUCUUGGUUGCCAUUACAUCAGAUUGAGAAGAACCCACUAUCUUCUUGGUUGCCAUUACAUCAGAUUGAGAAGAACCCACUAUCUUCUUGGUUGCCAUUACAUCAGAUUGAGAAGAACCUACUAUCUUCUUGGUUGCCAUUACAUCAGAUUGAGAAGAACCCACUAUCUUCUUGGUUGCCAUUACAUCAAAUUGAGAAUAAUCCACUAUCUUCUGGCUUCUAUUGCUACUACUGAGAAGUCAACUUGAGACACUUAUUCUUUUAAAGAUAAUAUAUCUUAUUCUCUGGCUGCUUUUAAGAUUUUUCUCUUUGUAUCUGGUGUUGUACAGUUUUCAUGUGAUGUGUCUAGGUAUAGAUAUCUUUUCAUUUAUGCAGUUGGGGACAAAUUCUGAAAGAGCUAUAAUACUAGUUAUGACAUUUUUAUUUCUAGAGGUUUUCUGUUUUGUUCUUUCAUCAAAUUUGUAAUAUCAUUUUUAUAGUAUCCUAUUACUUAAAGUCAUUUUCAAACUUGUCUUCUACUUCUCUACAUAUAUUUCACAUGGUUGUUUUACAGGCUUUCUCCAAUAUUCCAAUAUCUGAAACAUUUGCAAGGCUUUUUCAUUUUGUUUUGUCUUUGUUUUUAUUGGUUCUUAUGCAUGUCAAUUUGUUUUCCUAUAGGCUUGGUUAUUUUUAGCAGUGCUAUGACCUUUCUACUUGAAAAAAAAAUGCAGGAAUGAUCUCAGGCUUUCUUCAUAGAAUACUUGGAUUUUCUUCUGUCGGGUGCCCAAAAGAAACAUCAAUCGAGAACCACCUGGUUUUGUCUUUUAUUGGAUUUCUCACCUUGUUUGAACCCUGGAGUUUUACCUCUGUAAUCCUCUUCUUACAUCAAAACAAUAGUUUAAAAGUGCAACAAUACCCUCAGAAGAAAAUAAGCUUCCAUGGUCAACUUUCCUUUCAAGAGUUCUGGUUUCUCUUUAGCUUCUCUAGUCAAUUCUUUUAUGUUUUGAUAACUUUUUAUCGGUUGUGCUGUAUAAUCUGGAAACAAAACCUUUGAGUGUGAUGAGACUGUGCAUUAUCCAACAUUACUAGGAUCAUAGAACUUUAAGGAUAUUUUAAAAUACAACCAGUUGAAUUUAAUUUUCUACAUGGUUUUAGCUGACUUGUAGCACCAGUUUAUGAGGUCUUUCUCCAGAUCUGAUAAAAUAUGAUUUAAAGUAAUAAAUGGUGGAAAAUGAAAGCA